rnacentral:lncRNA from 1 species
AUGGUGGCCAAAUGACGCGAGCUGCAGAAGUUAGCCGUCAAUAUCCUGUUCAGCAAACGACUCUUGAUGUCUGGAAUACUCCUUUGACUAACAAAUCCGACACUUCAUUGGGUACUCAGUCUUCACAGCAAAUAUUAACAAUGUCUUCAAAUGCUUAUGAAACCAGUCCGCUGACUAAUGGUGACCAAAAUACUCAAACUGCAGAAACUAGUCGUCAAUAUCCUGUUCAACAAAUGACUGUUGGUGUCAGGAAUGCGCCCCUGACCAACAAAUCUGACACUUCAUUGGUUACCCAGUCUUCACAGCAAGUAUUAAGGACGUCUUCAAUUGCUAGUGAAACUGAUCAGCUGACUAAUGGCGGCCAAAUAACGCAAGCUGCAGAAGUUAGUCGUCAAUAUCCUGUUCAGCAAAUGGCUCUUGAUGUCAGGAAUACUCCCUUGACUAACAAUUCCGACACUUUAUUGGCUACCCAGUCUUCACAGAAAGUAUUAAGGACGUCUUCAAUUGCUCAUGAAACCGGUCCGCUGACUAGUAGUGACCAAAUGACUUCUUCAAUUGCUCAUGAAACUGGUCCGCAGACUAAUGAUGACCAAAUGACGCAAGCUGCAGUAGUUAAUUGUCAAUGUCCCGUUCAUCAAAUGACUGUUGGUGUUAGGAAUACUCCUUUGACUAACAAAUCUGACACUUCAUUGGCUAAUCAGUCUUCACAGCAAGUAUUAAGGACGUCUUCAAUUGCUCAUGAAACCGGUCCGCUGACUAGUGGUGACCAAAUGACUUCUUCAAUUGCUCAUGAAACUGGUCCGCUGACUAAUGGUGACCAAAUG